rnacentral:misc_RNA from 1 species
UUAAUAUUUAUUUUUAACUGAAGAUACUGCUACUGCAACGGUUUUUGAAUGUCCAACGGCGAGCAAGCCCGCCGAGGAAACAAUGGGUACUCAUAAACAAAGGGUAUCUAUCAAGCGGGGACGAAUCCCCACAAUAAUGAUCCUUCCGCAGGUUCACCUACGGAAA